GGGCGGGCGCUUAGGGAGGCGCUGCAGAGAGCGGGGCAGGCGCCGGGAGAGGACGAGGGGCUGCGGGAGUUGCUGAGGCGGCGCAGGGACAGGGGGAUCCCCCCUCAGUUUGGAGGGGUGCCCAAGGUGCUCCCUCCCCAGAAACUCUCCAGGGUCCCUGGAAGUGGCUCCUGUUCCACCGGCCCGUGCCCGCCUGAUCCAGGACGGGCCCCACAGGUCAUGCAGACUAUCCAAGAGCAGCCCUGCCUUCAGCAGGCAGAUCCAUCCUGGAUGCCCGGCUGGACAGAGCGCUGUCAGCCGGGCAAAGAGUUCCUGAGACAGGAAACAAUGAACAAUCCUUGGAGCCUCUGAAACCGUCUGCUGCAAUCUCUCAUCGGCGGCUUUGGGAAAACCAGGAUUUGAACCACUGCAUGUCCUCCUGAGGUGAUCUCGGGGCUAAGGAGACACCUCGGGCUGUGACAUUUGUGCACCCCAAAUGUCCUUUUCAGACCCCAAAUUCUCCUUUUCAUACCCCAAAUCUUGUGCAUCACAAAUUCCUUUUCCUACCCCAAAAUCUCCUUUUCCCAACCCAAAUCCCCUUUUCCCACCCAAAAUCUCCUUUUCCCACCCCAAAUCCUUUCCUGUCCAUCCAAAAUUCCCUUUUCUCACCCAAAAUCUCCUUUUUCAAUCCCAAAUCCCCUUUUCCCACCGAAAUCCUGACCUCAAAUCCUCAAAACCCACCCAAAACCCUCUUUUCCUCCCCCAAAUUUCCUUUUCCAUCCUAAAAUCUCAUUUUUCCAUCCCAAAUCCUUCCCCUUUUACCCCAAAAUCUCCUUUUUCCACUGCAAAUCCGUUUUUUAGAGUCUCCCAGGAGUUUUUGGGGUUUUUCCCAGCAUUGUACCCAGGGUCUCUGCAGACAUUGCACCUGGCGCUGCCCCCACCCCAAAUAAAUCCCAGAUCAACAGCAAUUAAAUCCCAAACCAAC